CGGGGGGAGGGCGGAGGGAGCGAGCGCCGCGCAGCCUGGGCGGCCGGAGUCGGAGCAGGGGAGACGGGUUCAAAAAAUAAUUAAAAAUCGAGGAAAUAUCCCAGAAAAGCCCUUUCGCCGUGAAAACCCCGCAGAGGACCCAGGCUUCCCGCAGCGGAGGUUUGAGGCGCCGGGAAGGUCUGGAGCGCGACCCCUGGGGCUUCGGAUCCCGAGGGGAAACUUGCAGGGGAGAGCGCGGCGGCGGGAGUGUCCGGCCGCGGCCCACAAGGGCAGAGGCCGGGGACGGUGGCGAAGAGCUGGGGGACGCUCGAGGACGGGGAGCCGCCGGGGAGAGGCGCGGGGGGCUCCGGCCUCUCCUUCGGGGGGGCCCCGCUAUCCCCCCUGCACACACCUCCUCCCCCUCCCACCCCACCCAGAUCUCCGCACCCAGGAAACUGAAGGCCGAACCGAGGGUGAAACUGGCUCCUAUGAGGAUUGAUGUUGGGCUUCACUCGCCUUCCAGAAGAUGCCCGGCAGACUGGACUUGAUCUCUACCCGCUCUGCCUACAUCUCCAGUCCUGGGCAGUCAGACCUGAUGCUCGGCGGUGACCUGAAAUGAGAAGAAACCUCUCGCCAAGCUCACCAAGAAGCUCCAGAUUCCGCUCCUGCAAUGAAGAUUUUUAAAGCAAAUCCAAACAUCGUGUGAUAUCAUCUGUAAACACUCCACGUGCACCCAUGGAAGAACUCUGUCAUGUGUACAUACUUACAAAUCUGGAAUACAACGAUUAUAACUAAUAAAAUGAACAGUAACUCAGUUUCCAAUUUUCCCCACUGUUUGCCUAUCACUCUUUAGCGAUGGAUCUGUUAGAAUAAGGAUGCAGUGGGAAUUUGGGUCCCAGUACUCCUUCAAAGUUCUUGCAUGAGGUUGUUUGUUGAACGAGAGGAAAUAAGUUACAUAAUAAAG